GUGAUGAAGUGCUGCUAAUGAGCCUCUUUUGCUUGUUUAUUUUAACAGCCAGAAAAAAUUACAUUAGUGCUCUGCGGUGAGCGGGCGGUGUGGAUUUCCUCGGGGAAUCCCUCCGGAGUGUUCGGAACAAGCAGCGGAGCUCCUCGCCUAAUUGGGAGCGGACUAAUUUGCUGUCUUUUCCAGCUGAGCUUCUGGGUCCCUCAGAGUCCGGAGACCCGCUGACCGCUGUUCAGUUAAGGAGCAAACAACGGCUGGGUCUGCUUGUGGAGAAGGCCCUUGCAAGCAAAUAUCCCUUGAUGAAACAGUCUCAUGAACUGCAAAGCUUCUUCACCGAGGCGCACUGGAACAAGCUACAUUGAGAUGUGCAAUUUGGCUUUCUAAACUCCCCUGGAAAGAAUUUGCAGCCUGGUGAGCAGGCAGAACAAGUACAUUGGGGCAAACACUGCCAGCCCCCGGCGCCCUCCUGCAGAGCAGAAGUCAAAGAAGCAGCUGGCAUCUUUUCCUCCUGCUUUCUGUAGUCUAACUCAUGUUUGU
ensembl:lncRNA